GACGAACGCUGGCGACGUGCUUAACACAUGCAAGUCGAACGGAAAGGCCCUGCUUUUGUGGGGUGCUCGAGUGGCGAACGGGUGAGUAACACGUGAGUAACCUGCCCUUGACUUUGGGAUAACUUCAGGAAACUGGGGCUAAUACCGGAUAGGAGCUCCUGCUGCAUGGUGGGGGUUGGAAAGUUUCGGCGGUUGGGGAUGGACUCGCGGCUUAUCAGCUUGUUGGUGGGGUAGUGGCUUACCAAGGCUUUGACGGGUAGCCGGCCUGAGAGGGUGACCGGCCACAUUGGGACUGAGAUACGGCGCAGACUCCUACGGGAGGCAGCAGUGGGGAAUAUUGCACAAUGGGCGGAAGCCUGAUGCAGCAACGCCGCGUGCGGGAUGACGGCCUUCGGGUUGUAAACCGCUUUCGCCUGUGACGAAGCGUGAGUGACGGUAAUGGGUAAAGAAGCACCGGCUAACUACGUG
rnacentral:rRNA from 1 species